rnacentral:rRNA from 2 species
GUGCGAGACCGAUAGCGAACAAGUACCGUGAGGAAAAGAUGAAAAGAACUUUGAAAAGAGAGUUAAAGAGUACCUGAAACUGCCGAAAGGGAAGCGAAUCGUAUCCAGUGUCUAUAAUCUGCGGCAUAUUUCAUUGGCGGCAGUGUGCGUGCUUUUGCGUCGGAAGCGGCUUUUGUUGCUCUGUGCUUUUGCUGUGCGUGCUGUUGCUGGUGCCCUGUGUUGCGGUGGGACGUCAGAGUCAGUUCGUAUGCUGCGGGAAAUGGCCGCCGAGGAGGUAGGUCAGGACUUCGGUCUUGGCUGUUAUAUCUUGGUGGUUUGUUGUCGUGGUUGAGACUGAGGUGCCUACAAUGUGCUUUCGAGUCUAUGGGCCUCUCGUUUGGCUGUUUGCUUUGAUAGCUUGCUAUGUUAGUGAACGUGUCGGGCGAUUGAGACCUGUAGUAACUUGUUGCUGUUCGGGACUUUGA